GGCGAUGUGCCAGAUUAAAUGGAAUGCGUUGAUGACGCAGAUUAUAAGAAAAUUUCUUCUUCGCCU
rnacentral:tRNA from 1 species